rnacentral:rRNA from 1 species
CUUGAACGCUGGCGGCAUGCUCUACACAUGCAAGUCGAACGGUAACAGGCCGCAAGGUGCUGACGCGUGGUGAACGGGCGGGUAAUGCAUGGGAAAGAGCCCAGUCGUGGGGGAUCACUACUCGAUAGUGUAGCAACUACCGCCUACGAUCGAUGGCUGAAAGCGGGGGUCCGCAAGGCCUCGUGCGAUUGGGGCGGCCGAUGUGAGAUUAGGUAGUUGGUGGGGUAAUGGCCCGCCACGGCAUCGAUCUGUAGCUGGUCUGAGAGGAGGACAAGGCGCACUGGGGCUGAGACACGGCCCAAACUGCUAGGGGAGGCAGCAGUGGGGAAUUGUGGACAAUGGGCGCAAUCCUAAUCCAGCAAUGCCGCGUGAAGGAAGAGGGCCUUGGGGUUGUAAACUGCUUUUGUACGGAACGAAACGGCUCUGGUUAAUGCGCGGGGCUAAUGACGGUACCGUAAGAAUAAGCACCGGCUAACUACGUG